CACGAGGUUAUGGCUGUUCUCUGGCGGUAGCAGCUGGUAUUUUGUGCGCGAGGAGGAAGAAGUAAACAAAACUGUCACGUAGGCGCGUGUGCGUUGGACUCAAGAGUCCACGAGCCGUUUAUUUGAGCCGUUCAUUAUACAUAUGGCCUGUUAAUAAUACACUCGCAUAUAUGCUUAUACAUUGCUGUAAACCAUGCAUGUGUUCUAACGCUGAGUUCUGUGUAAUGCACCGAAUGAAUUAAAUCAGCACAGUGUUUGGGGUGAUGUACUGCAUGCACUGAAAUGCAAACGCACUGGGGUUUUAUGUGGUCGAUUUUAAUUGGGUUGUGAAUCGUUUUAUCUCAUUUCUCAGUAUUGUUUGUGUUGUGCAUGUAAUUCAUGCAGUACAGGGGUGUUUGAGGAGUUGAGGUCAAAUCAUGGCCAUGUUUGUUGGAUCACUGAUAUGGAGGUUUGUUUAAAUGACGGGAAAAUAAGGAGGUUGGUGAGUAGUAAUUGCUAACAAUCUGGGCUGGUAAUUAGAUGGUUGUAGUUUUGUACCCCAUAAAUGAACAUUGUGAUGAGAAUGACAGUUUUAUAGUAGUACUAAAACCAGUAUAAUUUAAUAUCAGUGAUUUUAUGACACUUUAUCAAAUGUUGUAUACCAAUAUGAGACAAGAUGAGCAGGAUUUGCCAGAUAUGAUUAUGAUUUGUUUGUAGAAUGAUAUCAGCAUAUUCCACACCCACUUUCCACUUAGCCACACCAGACCUAGUUUUCUUUGGAAAUCUGAAUGCUGAGUAAUGAGUUCAAAAUUACUAACUGUGAUUUG